rnacentral:rRNA from 1 species
GUUGGGUAGGGGAGCGUUCUGUAAGCCUGUGAAGGUGUGUCGUGAGGCAUGCUGGAGGUAUCAGAAGUGCGAAUGCUGACAUAAGUAACGAUAAAGCGGGUGAAAAGCCCGCUCGCCGGAAGACCAAGGGUUCCUGUCCAACGUUAAUCGGGGCAGGGUGAGUCGACCCCUAAGGCGAGGCCGAAAGGCGUAGUCGAUGGGAAACGGGUUAAUAUUCCCGUACUUGGUGUUACUGCGAAGGGGGGACGGAGAAGGCUAUGUUGGCCGGGCGACGGUUGUCCCGGUUUAAGCGUGUAGGUGUGUGUUCCAGGUAAAUCCGGUUCACUUUAACACUGAGGCGUGACGACGAGGCACUACGGUGCUGAAGCAACAAAUGCCCUGCUUCCAGGAAAAGCCUCUAAGCAUCAGGUAACAUCAAAUCGUACCCCAAACCGACACAGGUGGUCAGGUAGAGAAUACCAAGGCGCUUGAGAGAACUCGGGUGAAGGAACUAGGCAAAAUGGUGCCGUAACUUCGGGAGAAGGCACGCUGACACGUAGGUGAAGUGAUUUACUCAUGGAGCUGAAGUCAGUCGAAGAUACCAGCUGGCUGCAACUGUUUAUUAAAAACACAGCACUGUGCAAACACGAAAGUGGACGUAUACGGUGUGACGCCUGCCCGGUGCCGGAAGGUUAAUUGAUGGGGUCAGCGCAAGCGAAGCUCCUGAUCGAAGCCCCGGUAAACGGCGGCCGUAACUAUAACGGUCCUAAGGUAGCGAAAUUCCUUGUCGGGUAAGUUCCGACCUGCACGAAUGGCGUAAUGAUGGCCAGGCUGUCUCCACCCGAGACUCAGUGAAAUUGAACUCGCUGUGAAGAUGCAGUGUACCCGCGGCAAGACGGAAAGACCCCGUGAACCUUUACUAUAGCUUGACACUGAACAUUGAGCCUUGAUGUGUAGGAUAGGUGGGAGGCUUUGAAGUGUGGACGCCAGUCUGCAUGGAGCCGACCUUGAAAUACCACCCUUUAAUGUUUGAUGUUCUAACGUGGACCCGUUACCCGGGUUGCGGACAGUGUCUGGUGGGUAGUUUGACUGGGGCGGUCUCCUCCUAAAGAGUAACGGAGGAGCACGAAGGUUGGCUAAUCCUGGUCGGACAUCAGGAGGUUAGUGCAAUGGCAUAAGCCAGCUUGACUGCGAGCGUGACGGCGCGAGCAGGUGCGAAAGCAGGUCAUAGUGAUCCGGUGGUUCUGAAUGGAAGGGCCAUCGCUCAACGGAUAAAAGGUACUCCGGGGAUAACAGGCUGAUACCGCCCAAGAGUUCAUAUCGACGGCGGUGUUUGGCACCUCGAUGUCGGCUCAUCACAUCCUGGGGCUGAAGUAGGUCCCAAGGGUAUGGCUGUUCGCCAUUUAAAGUGGUACGCGAGCUGGGUUUAGAACGUCGUGAGACAGUUCGGUCCCUAUCUGCCGUGGGCGCUGGAGAACUGAGGGGGGCUGCUCCUAGUACGAGAGGACCGGAGUGGACGCAUCACUGGUGUUCGGGUUGUCAUGCCAAUGGCACUGCCCGGUAGCUAAAUGCGGAAGAGAUAAGUGCUGAAAGCAUCUAAGCACGAAACUUGCCCCGAGAUGAGUUCUCCCUGAGACUUA